CAUGGCAAUAUACUUGUCUUCCAUUUAUGACAACUCAAAAGGCCAAAGCAUAAUGACAGUAAUGAAGCACAACUCGACUGCAAUAGCCAGGUACUAAUACAUAUAAAUGUUUUAACAAGCUAUUGCCCACCAGCUCAGAUUGUGGCUCAGGGCACCAGCUCUCUGUUCUCUAUCCCUUUUUCUUUUCCCUUGUACAAUCAAUAUAUGCGGAGAUCCUAUAUGAGAAGCUUGAGUUUACCUUAACUUGCAGGAGAAAGCCAGCCAACCAAUUCCAUGUUAGGUCUCAAAAUACCCUCUCAGCUUUCAAAUUUUGAAACUAUGAAGUUUUUUUGGGGAUGCUCCACCCACAUUUACACCAGAAAUUAGCAGACAGUUCGUCCAUAACAGAUUGAUGCAAUGUAGAGGUUUUUGGACCAUUUUUCCUUUACAUGGGUGCUUGGGAAGGCAGAGGUACGAAGUGUUUCCUGAGUUUCAUCCACCAUUUUCCGUUUUGGUAUGCUUAAUAUGAAGGCGGCCUGAUCAGCAGUGGCAGCCAUAGAUGUGAUCCUGUAACCACUUUCCCAUCGCCGAUGUAUUCCUUCACUUGGGUACAAAAAAUCAAGCUCCACAACCUGAUCUGAAUAUCCAGCAUUCCUGGACAUCACCACACCCCAGCGACUGCCAGCAGUUGUCAUGGAUGUGACAUGAAAGCCUUCUUUCCACUUCUUAUUUAUCCACUUGAAAGGAAAAGAUUCACUCACUUUGUAUGACUGCUGGGUGUAAGGAGUUCCUGCAUGAUUAUAAACAUUUAAGAAUAUUCUUUGGCAGUGGAUAAUCCUAUUCAAUUUCUUGGAAAAUAGACCUAAAUUAAUUCAAGCUCGUAUGCUGAACAGUCUGACCAAGUACACCAGCCAUAAUUAGUAAAAUGCAAUUUGCAAACUAAAAGUUAGAUCUAACACUUCUAUUUCAUGUCACUUACCCAAAUUUCAAGUUAAACUAGACAGCAGACAUCAUAAAUCAAUAAAGCACAAAAAGGUACCAACCUUUGGACAUAACAACUAAUGAACUUCCAUUGCUUGCACCAGCUAUUGAACUAAUAUAGAAAUUCUUUUCCCACUGUUCCAUAAUCCAAUCCUAAUAAAAAUUUAAGAAUGAUAAACAAAGUUAAUAGUUCCAUUGGUUUUACAAGUCACUGACAGAAGAUGCUAGCAAUUAAUGUUUUCAAACUAUAACCUUGUGCAGGAAGACAGCUGACAGUUCAUAAACCUGCGUAGUGAAACCAGUUCCAGCAUCCAUGAUUAGGGCCCAGAGAUUAGCUGAAGAGGCCACACAACUGAUAUAUAACCCAUCUUCAUUCCCUUUGUCCACAUGCUGGCGCAGCCUUGCAUCUGCCACAUUAUAAUGAUAUCUCUGCUUCAUUGGUCGACGAGCAUUGUAAACAGAAAUCCACUGUGUAGCAGGACUGCCUAAUCGUACUUUCUUCUUUGGUUGCUCAUCCUCUUCCAAGUUUAUAAGCAAUCUUCCACGCUUUUGUCCA
rnacentral:misc_RNA from 1 species